rnacentral:lncRNA from 1 species
GGUUCAUAUGCAAUGAUUCCGGUUAGUCGUUAGCGCUCAAUUAACGUAGUGAAUUGUAAUAUGUUUGUUUUUUAUUUGCUGGCUAUUUCAUCAGAAUUUUCCUAAGUACAACGUAAGCUGAAAGCUUUCUCUCUAAUUGGAAUUGUGGAACAUAGUAGUUUUGAAUCUUCUUCACCUUCCGAAGAGUUGUUUCAGACUGGGUCGUUGAGGGCGCGGGCGGACGAGGGGGUGAACUGGAGGGUUGCGGGGUACCAGAGGGAGGAGGUGGCAGUAAAACGGCAACCAUAGCUCCACACGUGAAUAUUUGAUGGCUGAAUCUCGCUGUGGCUACUGAGAAUGUGUAGGAAGCUCGGUCGGUCACGACAGCACUACAGGAGAGUGGUGGCAAGAUUACACGUGGAGCGGCUUCGCGACAAGUGCUCGACCACUCGGCCGUCGAACUGAGCCUGUUCAGCAGGACGUUUAAUGCUAUAACGACAGAAAUAUGAUGCCUGGCAUGUGACGUUCCAUGCGCAAAGCCCCGCCAUAAACAUCACUUGCAGUGCUUCAACUUCAAGUAAAUACUUCACCACCAUCACCGUGAGAAAUUGAGAGCAGCCUGAAUAGAUCUUGGCACGAAUCAAUGCUGGCCGCGAAGAAAGUGAUCCAUCUUACUUAAUCCGCCGUGUACUUGAUCUGACAUUACGAACGUUUCGCAAUUUUAAACGUAACACAAUUUUAUUAUUCGGACAAAGUUACGAUACGUUUUGAUGUAUUGUUUCAUACAUUUUUAAUAGUGAUGCAUGAUACAUUUAAUGAAGCCAGAAACAAUUAAUUCAUGAAAAUACUUACACGUAUCAGAUUGCAUAAAUUCUAUCAUAUAUAAAGAAAAACUAAAGGCAAAUCACUAUACUUACACGCCGUGACAUAAUUUCCGUUACAGCUUUGUGAUAAGCAACGGGGCGUUGCCCUUGUUGUUUUUUAAGCUUAUCAAAUUUAUUAGAGAACAAUUACGUGUAAGUAGUUCCUUCGAAAAUUUUAUCGUUACCAUUUUUUAUAUAGAUAUUGAUUUACUCUAUUCUAACAACAAUGCGGUAAUAGCGUUAUGAAAUUUGUGACAUAUGUGUAGUAGUAUAAUUGUAGGUUUACAACAAAUAGAUAGUAUUCGUAUGUAUUUAAUUCUAUAUGGACUUAAUAUAUACAGUUUAUAUAGUAUUUAUGAAGCAUAUAAAACACGAGACGUAUGCGUGCUCUAUUUUACAAAUUAUUAUAAAAUUAAUAAGUAAAUAGAUUUAUAGAUCAUUAGUUAAAUUUACAGAACAAGUAAUAUUUUUUACUUAUUGGUUUUUGUAAGCUAAUAGGUAUAUAACUAGGUUAAUACCUAUUUAACGUUGUAUAAGUAUAUAGCAUCAUGCAAUAAUCUGCAUGAUUCUAGUUUUAGGUAGAGAGAUGCGAAUGGGACGUGUCAUAUUAUCAUGUAGUAAAUUCAUGUUUUACGUCAGUUAUAUUUUUUGAAAUUUGUAUGUGUCGAAUAACUGCUUACCUUGUUGUUGGACAGACAGUAAUCGGCCGAUCCCUAACCGUGAAUGUUCCCGGGCACCGCAGUAGUUAAAAUUGCCGCAUUCCUCUGUAGUCGGGCACGGGCGUGAGACCGGCACAGCCUCCCUAUCUGGACCGGUUGUUUACCACUGUUUUGGUGUCCAAAUUUAACACACGAUGUGGUGAUUAUCACAUAAACAACUAAUAAAACACCAUUCCGA